UUGAAGACAUCAAAAAAUGUUAAUCGUACAAUUGGCACUAGUGUGAAAACUAGAGACGCAAAUAGAUGGUUGUAUGGUUUUCUGGAACAUAGAAGAACGAAGGGACAUCUACAAGGUUGCUAUUGACAUAUUCUUGGUGGUGAUUGACGAGAAUAAGGGAAACAAGGUUGAGGGAGAGGAACGAGAAUGAAGGAAUGAAAGAAAGGAAAUAGUUAGGGUUUUUUUGUUGUUGUUAAGAUAAGGAAAA
rnacentral:lncRNA from 1 species